rnacentral:misc_RNA from 1 species
UGUGUUGCUUACCUAUCGAAAGGAAUUUCAUUGUUUUGUUGGCCCUUUCCACUCGAUUUCCCUAAAUGGGUGUGGGUGGACAUCAGGCAGUCUCUGUGUUCCUGGCAUGUCCGGCUUUAUUGCGUGGAAUGUUGUGGCCCACGGGGUUAUUUGCUUGUUCUCUCGGAUGCGGAAUGCGAUGUUUGGGUGCGGGGUUUCGGCCUCUGCUAGCCCAAGAAAUCUAUCUGUCCCUUCGCUUGAAUGACCGCCACGCACGUGUUGACCCUGCGAUCGUUCUGGUCGAUAGGGCUCAUGCGGGCGUUUGGUGUCGCCAAGGAAUGUUACCUGGUUGAUCCUGCCAGUAGUCAU